ensembl:miRNA
UGGAAUAUUACGGCAUUCUAGAUGAGAGAUAUAUAUAUACCUCAUAUGUAUGUGGUAUACCUCAUCUAGAAUGCCAUAAUAUUCUA